UACGAAGGGGGGCUAGCGUUGCUCGGAAUGACUGGGACGUAAGGGUGCGUAGGCGGUUCCGCAAGUCCUGUGUGAAAUCUUCGGGCUCAACUCGAAGUCUGCACGGGAAACUGCGGGGCUUGAGUGUGGGAGAGGUGAGUGGAAUUCCCGGUGUAGCGGUGAAAUGCGUAGAUAGUCGGGAGGAACACCUGUGGCGAAAGCGGCUCACUGGACCGCAACUGACGCUGAGGCGCGAAAGCUAGGGGAGCAAACAGGG
rnacentral:rRNA from 1 species